rnacentral:tRNA from 1 species
GAGGUAGGGCUCAACGGUAGAGCUUUCGCCUCUUAUGUGAAAAGACCCGAGACCGACUCCCGGCUGCUUUA